GUUUAAUUAAGAUUUUCUUAUCCCCUGCUAUGUUAAUAGCUUGCUAGACCCUGCAAGAGCCUCCUGUAUGUGAUUAAAGUUCAAUUUAGAGAUUGAGAUACAAUUAUUUAAGGUAAAUUACAUCUGUUUGAAAGGGAAACCAGUUUUUUUUUUCAUGCAGGCUCUGUCAAUCAUAGCCAGGGGAGGUGUGGCUAGGGCUGCAUAAACAGAAACAAAGUGAUUUAACUCCUAAAUGACAGUGAAUAGAGCAGUGAAAUUGCAGGGGAAUGAUCUAUAAACUAAAACUGCUUUAUUUAGCUAAAGUAAUUUAGGUGACUAUAGUGUUCCUUUAAGAUCUCAUUGUCAACAACAACAAAUUCUCCAAGUCAGCCAUGUUUUUAAUUUGACUAUUUUGGACAAAAAUGUACAAUUCAAUAUGGAUUAAUUUUGAAUUCCCAACACUUCACACUUUAGUUCAUAACCUUGGACAUUGUUUUUUUUAUUUAUUUAUGGGAGUACAGAAUGUAUAUUUUUGGGGUGUAUACAAUGUUUUAUAGGCUAAAUUAUUGUUACGGGAAACAUUGGAAAUAAACCUGGCUAUUGUUGUAUUCCGACAUACAUCAGCAUUUGGUGAAUUCCCCUCAUAUGUUGUGAUUUACUUUUAAUGCACUGAAAUUGUACUUGCCAUGGGGGGCAUUCAUUCAGGUGAAAAGCAAUCCAAUGACACUUAAGGGGUUUAAAAUCCUUAACUCAAAAUAGUGAUAUUAAGAUACCCUGUGCCUAUUGCAUACCAACUGAGUUAUAUUGCAGAUUGGGGAAUGUGAAUAAUCUAAAAUAUGGAGGAAUUAAGCAACACAUUAAAAAUACUUUUGCAAAG